CGUAGGGUGCGAGCGUUAAUCGGAAUUACUGGGCGUAAAGCGUGCGCAGGCGGUUUUGUAAGACAGGCGUGAAAUCCCCGGGCUUAACCUGGGAACUGCGUUUGUGACUGCAAGGCUAGAGUACGGCAGAGGGGGGUGGAAUUCCACGUGUAGCAGUGAAAUGCGUAGAGAUGUGGAGGAACACCAAUGGCGAAGGCAGCCCCCUGGGUCGAUACUGACGCUCAUGCACGAAAGCGUGGGUAGCAAACAGGAUUAGAUACCCUGGUAGUCCACGCCCUAAACGAUGUCAACUAGGUGUUGGGUGGGUAAAACCAUUUAGUACCGUAGCUAACGCGAGAAGUUGACCGCCUGGGGAGUACGGCCGCAAGGUUA
rnacentral:rRNA from 1 species